UACAGAGGUCUCAAGCGUUGUUCGGAUUCAUUGGGCGUAAAGGGUGCGUAGGUGGCGCUGUAAGUCGGGUGUGAAAUCUCGGGGCUUAACUCCGAAACUGCAUUCGAUACUGCCGUGCUUGAGGACUGGAGAGGAGACUGGAAUUUACGGUGUAGCGGUGAAAUGCGUAGAUAUCGUAAGGAAGACCAGUGGCGAAGGCGGGUCUCUGGACAGUUCCUGACGCUGAGGCGCGAAGGUCAGGGGAGCAAACGGG
rnacentral:rRNA from 1 species